GUGCCAGCAGCCGCGGUAAUACCGGCAGCUCGAGUGAUGACCGAUUUUAUUGGGCCUAAAGCGUCCGUAGCUGGCCGCGCAAGUCUGUCGGGAAAUCCACCCGCUUAACGGGUGGGCGUCCGGCGGAAACUGUGCGGCUUGGGACAGGAAGGCUCGGGGGGUACGUUCGGGGUAGGAGUGAAAUCCCGUAAUCCUGAACGGACCACCGAUGGCGAAAGCACCUCGAGAGGACUGAUCCGACAGUGAGGGACGAAAGCUGGGGUCUUGAACCGGAUUAGAAACCCUCGUAGUC
rnacentral:rRNA from 1 species